rnacentral:pre_miRNA from 1 species
GAGCCAAGGGCGAGGGGCUGCGGGAGGAACGGGGCGGAGGCUACAGUUUCGCUUCUCCGGUCUCCCCUCCUCUUUGUU